rnacentral:tRNA from 1 species
GGACCCAUGGUCUAGUGGUAUGUUGGAGCUUGCUCUUACACACUAAAUGACGUUCGCUUGACUUGCGAGAGAUCGUCGGUUCGAUGUAAUCCCUUUCUUUGUAAAGAAAGGUUUUACAAUCCCAAAGAAACUGAUUGUAAAAAUGAUUACGAAAUCCCGACUGGGUCCA